rnacentral:rRNA from 1 species
UACGUAGGUGACAAGCGUUGUCCGGAUUUACUGGGCGUAAAGAGCGCGCAGGCGGUCGUUCAAGUCGAGUGUGAAAGCCCCCGGCUCAACUGGGGAGGGUCACGCGAUACUGAUCGACUGGAAGGCAGGAGAGGGUAGUGGAAUUCCCGGUGUAGUGGUGAAAUGCGCAGAUAUCAGGAGGAACACCAAUGGCGAAGGCAGCUCGCUGGGACGGUACUGACGCUGAGACGCGAAAGCGUGGGGAGCAAACAGG